AUGGCGUCAUCCAACAGUUCAAUUCACAUGCUUCGUUGGCAGGAAGAAGAAAGUGAAGAUUUCGGUGAACUGGAAGAUCAUGACGGCGCUACGCCGAUUCGUCCCUUUGGUAAGGGUAACACACCAAAGCCAAAAAGGCUUAGGAUGCAUAAUCACGUCGAGCCUAUUAACCUGCCUAUUAGUAGUAGAUAUCCCGUUACGAAAGACGAUAGGAAAGAAGGUUUGGGGGACGGUUGGGGUACUAGCAACGAUCAAAUUCUGCAGGCAACCAAGGAGAGCAACAAGCUGAUGCAAACUCUCAUACAAAAGAUCAAUCAGUUGGAACAUAUGGUUGUGAAGCACAUGCAAACAUGCGAGAAGAAGACGGAAAUGCCUUGA
rnacentral:rRNA from 1 species